GCCAUAGAGAGGGGUUUUUUGUUCUUUAUUUUGGUUAGGCCAGGGUGUUACAUUGGGUGGGCGUUCUAUGUUCCUUUUUCUAUGUUUUGGUAUUUCUUUGUUUUGGGCCAUGUGUGUGGCUCCCAAUCAGGCACAGCUGAAGCUCGUUGCUGCUGAUUGGGAGUCACACAUAAGGAGCAUGUUUUUCCUUUGGGUUUUGUGGGUAAUUGUUUCUGUUUAGAGUAUUUUCCUAACAGCACUGUUUGCUAUCGUUUUUGUUCAUUUUGUAGUGUUCUCUUGCUUUUUUGAAUUAAAAUUCUAAUGAUGAACACAUCCUCUGCUGCACCUUGGUUCCCUCUUACAGACAGCCGUUACACAGUGCCACGCUGAAAGUUACUAAGCUCUUCAGUACGGUCCUUUCUACAGCCAAUGUUUGUCUAUGGAGAUUGCAUGGCUGGGUGCUCGCUUUUAUACACCUGUCAGGAACGGGUGUGGCUGAAAUAGCCAAAUCAACUAAUUUGAAGGGGUGUUUUGGUCAUGUAGUAUAUAACAGAGGACUUUCAAAGUCCACUCUCAUAAAUCAAGUUUCCCCAUCUGUUUUUCUGUGCUAUGGUGUUUGUUUACUUUCUCUCCUUCCUUUGUUCUAUGUACUGAAACUUUCUUAAUCCUUGCCUACACCCUCUUGGUGGCACUAGAUCACCUUCCCUCUGUCAAUUACCUCUCUCUCGCUCUCUCUCUCUCGCUCUCUCUCUCUAUGAAAGUUUCCUGCCAUCAUGUGAGGCUCACAUCUGCAUUGCAGUGCCGAGGAGAAAGCAGUGGCUGCAUGAGAGGAGUCGUUGUGCAGGUAGAGAGAGAGCAAGAGGAAGAGAAGAGGAGAGAUGGCGGGGAGGCCACAUCAUGGAGUCAUGGGUGACACCUUGGUAUUAUUGCCAUUUGACACACACUAACACAUAGACCAAUCAAUCUCAUCCUGAAGUGAUGACAAUACUGAGAGGGACAUGUACCCCUCCACCCCCACCUCCCUCAUAAAGUCUCUUAUUAAUGGCAUCAGCAUUUUUCCUGGUCUCUUUCCAUUUCCCUCCUGAUGGCGGGACCCUGCUUCAUUGUGUUCUGCCAUGUUCCUGUAAUUGCUGAAACGGCCUGCCUUAUGCUGAGUGUGUGUGUGUGUGUGUGUAGAGCAACUCUGUACACCAUCGGGGACGGCUGGGAGUUUGUGGGGCAGAACGGCAGCAGAGCCGCGGGCGAGCUCCACACUGAGGGAAAUGACAGCCUCCAGGCCAGCAUUGGUUGAUGACCGUGAAACUCUUGCGGUUAACGUAAAGCGAGCGAGAGGCUGGCACAGCGACAACUGUGAGGCUGUGUGCAGUUCUGCUAGCAACACAAGCCACUCUCCAACUACUCUGUAGUACAGAAACAAAACAACAGAGUCCGUGUUACUAUUCAUAACACCAGCAGCUAUG
rnacentral:lncRNA from 1 species